rnacentral:rRNA from 1 species
ACCCCAGUGAAAUAUGCCCUAACAAAAGUAAACGGAGCAAGUAUCAGGCACGAACACUCAGCCCAAAACACUAAGCUAUGCCACACCCACACGGGCCCUCAGCAGUGAUAAACAUUAAGCAAUGAGCAAAAAUCUCUUUUUUAAGCUUGACUUAGUUAUGAUUAAUAGGACCGGUCAACCUCGUGCCAGCCACCGCGGUUAUACGAGAGGUCCAAAGCAGCAAACCCCGGCGUAAAUCGUGAUUAGAAUGUUUACCAUAACCUAAAAACUAAACAAUGUCCUAACCGUAAAACACAGGACAAACGAAACCCCAAAUUUUUAGCAUCACGGUAAUUUGAUUCACGAAAACUAAGAAACAAACUAGGAUUAGAUACCCUACUAUGCUUAGCCGUUAAUAUGGUAUUUUAAUACAUAAAUACCCGCCAGAAAACUACGAGCGAAAAGCUUAAAACUCAAAGGACUUGGCGGUGCUUCACACCCGACUUAGAGGAGCCUGUCCUAUAAUCGAUACUCCACGCUAAACCUCACCAUUCAUUGCCAAACAGCCUAUAUACCGCCGUCACCAACUUACCCCAUGAGGGCUCAACAGUAAAUAAAAUAGUUAAAUUAACUAAAACGUCAGGUCAAGGUGUAGCUAAUAGAAUGGCAGAGAUGGGCUACAUUUUUUAAAAUAAAACAAACGGCAUGAAACUAUGAAACUAGUUUCCGAAGGAGGAUUUAAUAGUAAAAUUAUCAAGAAAAUUAAUUUUAAACACGC